ACGGGUUAACCUCGCCACGUAUCACUAACUCGCAGGCUCAUUCUUCAAAAGCCACGCCGUCACACCUGCUAAGGGUGCUCCGACGGAUUGUAAGCAGACGGUUUCAGGUACUAUUUCACUCCCCGCCAGGGGUACUUUUCACCUUUCCCUCACGGUACUUGUCCGCUAUCGGUCAUCGAGAAGUAUUUAGGCUUAACGGGUGGUCCCGCCAGAUUCACACACCAUUCCAGGAGUGGCAUGUUACUUGGGAAAACACUCACGGAGUCACCACCUUACGUCUACGGGGCUAUCACCCGCUACGGCGCAGCUUUCCAACUGCUUCGACCUCAAUGAUGAUUUCUAACUCCGCACACCCCCAGCAGCGGGUGAACAAGUGCUCCCACGACCCCAAAGACGCAACCCCUGCCAGGUAUCACACGACUUUGGUUUAGCCUGAUCCGAUUUCGCUCGCCACUACUCUCGGAAUCACUAUUGUUUUCUCUUCCUACCGGUACUGAGAUGUUUCACUUCCCGGCGUUCCCUCCACACACCCUAUUUCAUUCAGGUGCAGGUAACUGGACAUAACUCCAGCUGGGUUUCCCCAUUCGGACAUCCCCGGAUCAACGCUCGGUUGCCAACUCCCCAGGGCAUAUCGCAGGCUCCCACGUCCUUCAUCGGCUCUCGAUGCCAAGGCAUCCACCAUGCGCCCUUACCAA
rnacentral:rRNA from 1 species